rnacentral:ncRNA from 1 species
UGAAAACCUUUGAAGGAAACAGUAAUCAGACCACUUAUGAACAGAGAGAAGAUGUCAUUGGCUGGAAACAUGUUCACAUAAGCUCUGAUGAAUGACAUUCCCCAGGUUCUAUUCCGAACAAAGACUUGAAAGCUGAAAAGUGGAAAGCAUGUUGAUAGUUGAUUCAACUUCUGCUGCCCACCUUCUCCUUUCUGAUGAAUUUCAGUAGGUAUAGACGUUUUGCAGGCGUUAACUGUGCAGAGCGGAUGUUGUAAAAGACAUCAACCAGGGUGGCAACGCGGGUAAGCUCCCGUCCCUUAU